GUCUACGGCCAUACCACCCUGAACGCGCCCGAUCUCGUCUGAUCUCGGAAUACAAUGAUUCUGGGAUAAAUACUAAGUAAAUAUGCACAUCUAAAAGAAUAAUGUUGGACU
rnacentral:rRNA from 1 species